AGUGAACGCUGGCGGUAGGCCUAACACAUGCAAGUCGAACGGCAGCACAGUAAGAGCUUGCUCUUACGGGUGGCGAGUGGCGGAUGGGUGAGGAAUACAUCGGAAUCUACUUUUUCGUGGGGGAUAACGUAGGGAAACUUACGCUAAUACCGCAUACGACCUACGGGUGAAACCCGGGGAUCUUCGGACCUUGCGCGAUUGAAUGAGCCGAUGUCGGAUUAGCUAGUUGGCGGGGUAAAGGCCCACCAAGGCGACGAUCCGUAGCUGGUCUGAGAGGAUGAUCAGCCACACUGGAACUGGGACACGGUCCAGACGCCUACGAGAGGCAGCAGUGGGGAAUAUUAGGCAAUGGGCGCAAGCCUGAUCCAGCCAUACCGCGUGGGUGAAGAAGGCCUUCGGGUUGUAAAGCCCUUUUGUUGGGAAAGAAAAGCAGCAGGUUAAUACCCCGCUGUUCUGACGGUACCCAAAGAAUAAGCACCGGCUAACUUCGUG
rnacentral:rRNA from 1 species